AUGAAUCGCGCGGAAGAGCCCAGCAUCCCGGAUGCUGGCGCCGACGGAGCAACCGCCCCGGAAACUCUCAGGCAACCAGGACCGCGCGAUCAGG
rnacentral:ncRNA from 2 species